rfam:Erinaceus europaeus unplaced genomic scaffold scaffold00043, whole genome shotgun sequence
AGCUGUGAGGGUGAUCUGGCUGCAACUUCUGUCACCCCACUGAUAGCCAGGGUUGAUUCGGCUGAUCCGGCUGGCUAGGUGGGUGUUCCCUUCCUCCCUCACCGCUCCAUGUGUGUCCCUCCCAAAGCUGCGUGCACGGUGGAAGAGGACGUCCUUCCCCGAAUAGAGAUGGACCAGUCUUCGGUCGAGGGUAUACGAGUAGCUGAGCUCCCCUGCUAGAACCUCUAAACAAGCUCUCAAAGGUUUAACACAGAAAUUCUACCUUUCUAAAAGAUAUGAUUUAUACUCAAGUAUAUUUUAAUGAGAAAUCCACUUACAAAACUAAAAAUGUGCUAGGU